GGGCGAUUGGGCGUUUGAUCAUGGCUCAGGACGAACGCUGGCGGCGUGCUUAACACAUGCAAGUCGAGCGGAAAGGCCCUUUUGGGGGUACUCGAGCGGCGAACGGGUGAGUAACACGUGAGUAAUCUGCCCUUCACUCUGGGAUAACUGCCUGAAAGGGUGGCUAAUACUGGAUGCGACCAACUGCUGCAUGGUGUGUUGGUGGAAAGGUUUUCUGGUGGGGGAUGUGCUCGCGGCCUAUCAGCUUGUUGGUGGGGUAAUGGCCUACCAAGGCUUUGACGGGUAGCCGGCCUGAGAGGGUGACCGGCCACACUGGGACUGAGACACGGCCCAGACUCCUACGGGAGGCAGCAGUGGGGAAUAUUGGACAAUGGGCGGAAGCCUGAUCCAGCAACGCCGCGUGAGGGAUGACGGCCUUCGGGUUGUAAACCUCUUUCAGCACAGACGAAGCGCCUGUGAAGGUGGUGACGGUAUGUGCAGAAGAAGCACCGGCCAACUACGUGCCAGCAGCCGCGGUAAUAG
rnacentral:rRNA from 1 species